rnacentral:lncRNA from 1 species
AGUGAAAAAGGGGAAAUGAAAAAGUAAAUCAAAAUUAUUGGGUGCAAAAGGGUUAGUUAUAAGGGUAUAGUCGGUGAUAUUUUGUCCAGUCACUGGGUGAAACCCUAUGAAAAAAAAAAAUGUUUUUCUUAUACCAUACAUGACCCAAUGUUCAAACAGAAAAGAGCAAAUAGGUUUGAAUAUUUUUCAAAUUGAACACACCCUGGAGUAUGAUAUAUAUAUGUAAGAGUGUAUGAAGUAUGAACCUAGUUUGUGAAGUUUUCAAAAAGGAGGAAAAGGCUCUCUCUUUCCAUUCAUCAAGCCACAAAUUUGUCAUUUUUCGGCUAUUGAUUGAAGAUGGGCACUUAGUCCUUGCUCCUAUCUCCUUGUCCAGGCUUGACCGUAUCAACCCUAUGUAGCCUCAUCUUUUAUUAUGUAUUCUAUUUUUUAAUCUUUGUGCUAAUGGGUUACGAAUAAAUGAUAAAGUUGAUGCUAAAACGCGUUGAUAUUGAUUUAAUCUUUGACAAAUCGCACGCAAGGGGUAACUGGACCCAUUGCUUUGCAUUGCAUUUGAAUUUUAUUAAUAUCUAUACAUUACACCGAUAUUUGAUGCGUGUAUGUAAAGAAAUAGUUAGCCCUGGUGUAGAAUAUAAUAAUUUGAAAAGGUUCAAUCACCGGCCAAAUGGUUGGUUAUUAUGCAGUAGAUUUAAAUAGGGUCCUAUAAGUUCUGGUUUUUACCAUGAACAGUAAAGUGAUAGGUGAUGAUACAUGGAAGCAGAGAGACAGAGAGAAAGGGAGUUAUGAGGUGAGAAUUUGGGUCAUUUUUGUGGGAUUGUAAUGAGCACUUGGGAGCGGAAUGGCAUUUUCUGAGUGUCUGAACUUCCACCUCACAUUGUUUUGUGAGAAUCAUAAUUAAUAGUCAUGGCCAUGCCAUGUACAGAAAAGUUAGGCAAAAUUGCAUAUCCUAAGUAUUCAGGGGUCCCUUCAGAAGAUGCACUGAUUGAUUAUAACCUUUGAAAUACCAUGGCCAGUUUGCUAGACUUUUAGAAGGGGUUUUUUCCCACUAGCCUAAUUUGG